rnacentral:misc_RNA from 1 species
UUUGGUUUGUUACGUGUGGUUGGCUGCGGCGUUUGCAACAACUUCCAUGCUUUCAGACCUCUUCAGUUGUGCGGCAAGGCUUGUAUCGCUUUGAGCGUAUUGUGGGUUUUCUGUGUUGGCUACCUAAUCAACGGUAUCGUUUGGAUUGAUCAAAGUUUGAUUUCGUCUUCCGUCGCGUUUGCGGCGUGAGGUGAACCUUGAUGCGGUCUCUUUGAUCCAUCUCGUCGAAGCACAUGCUUUGACGUUGUGGCACAUUGAGCAUUGCUUGGUGUCUUGUAUACGGAACACGUAGUGGGCAUGGAUCUAACGAUUCUUGUUUGCCCUCAUAUUAGCGUAACGCUUCUCUAACACGACUUGCACCACGUUUUAG